AAAGUCGUAACAAGGUUUCCGUAGGUGAACCUGCGGAAGGAUCAUUAUUGAAUAAACUUGGUUGGGUUGUUGCUGGCUUCUAGGAGCAUGUGCACGCCUAAUCCAUUUUUAACCACCUGUGCACCUUAUGUAGACUUGAACAGCUCUCGAGACAAUGUACUCGGUUUGAGAAUUGCUGAUGUGAAAGCUCCAGCUCUUCUUGUGUUCAAGUCUAUGUCUUAUAUAUUACACCCCAUACGAAUGUAUUAGAAUGUAAUGAAUUGGCCUUGUGCCUUUAAAACAUAAAUACAACUUUCAACAACGGAUCUCUUGGCUCUC
rnacentral:misc_RNA from 1 species